GACGAACGCUGGCGGCGUGCUUAACACAUGCAAGUCGAACGGAAAGGCCCUGCUUUUGUGGGGUGCUCGAGUGGCGAACGGGUGAGUAACACGUGAGUAACCUGCCCUUGACUUUGGGAUAACUUCAGGAAACUGGGGCUAAUACCGGAUAGAAGCUCCUGCUGCAUGGUGGGGGUUGGAAAGUUUCGGCGGUUGGGGAUGGACUCGCGGCUUAUCAGCUUGUUGGUGGGGUAGUGGCUUACCAAGGCUUUGACGGGUAGCCGGCCUGAGAGGGUGACCGGCCACAUUGGGACUGAGAUACGGCCCAGACUCCUACGGGAGGCAGCAGUGGGGAAUAUUGCACAAUGGGCGGAAGCCUGAUGCAGCAACGCCGCGUGCGGGAUGACGGCCUUCGGGUUGUAAACCGCUUUCGCCUGUGACGAAGCGUGAGUGACGGUAAUGGGUAAAGAAGCACCGGCUAACUACGUA
rnacentral:rRNA from 1 species